rnacentral:rRNA from 1 species
CCCUUAGAUGUUCUGGGCCGCACGCGCGCUACACUGAUGCAUUCAACGAGUUUCUUCCUGGUCCGAGAGGAAUGGGUAACCUUUUGAAAGUGCAUCGUGAUAGGGAUAGACUAUUGCAAUUAUUGGUCUUCAACGAGGAAUUCCUAGUAGACGUAGUUCAUCAGACAGCAUCGAUUACGUCCCUGCCCUUUGUACACACCGCCCGUCGCUCCUACCGAUUGAAUGCUCAGGUGAGCCAUUCGGACUUUCAUCAUGCUGGUUUCCAGUUUUGAUGAAGGAAAGUCCUGCGAACCUUAUCAUUUAGAGGAAGGAGAAGUCGUAACA